rnacentral:rRNA from 1 species
UACGUAGGUGGCAAGCGUUGUCCGGAAUUACUGGGUGUAAAGGGAGCGCAGGCGGGAAGCCAAGUCAGCUGUGAAAACUACGGGCUUAACUUGUAGACUGCAGUUGAAACUGGUUUUCCUGAGUGAAGUAGAGGUUGGCGGAAUUCCGAGCGUAGCGGUGAAAUGCGUAGAUAUAUGGAGGAACACCGGUGGCGAAAGCGGCUCUCUGGCCUGUAACUGACACUGAGGCUCGAAAGCGUGGGGAGCAAACAGG